rnacentral:rRNA from 1 species
UGCAGUCGAGCGGUAUGAAGGGAGCUUGCUCCUGGAUUCAGCGGCGGACGGGAGAGUAAUGCCUAGGAAUCUGCCUGGUAGUGGGGGAUAACGUCCGGAAACGGGCGCUAAUACCGCAUACGUCCUGAGGGAGAAAGUGGGGGAUCUUCGGACCUCACGCUAUCAGAUGAGCCUAGGUCGGAUUAGCUAGUUGGUGGGGUAACGGCCUACCAAGGCGACGAUCCGUAACUGGUCUGAGAGGAUGAUCAGUCACACUGGAACUGAGACCCGGUCCAGACUCCUACGGGAGGCAGCAGUGGGGAAUAUUGGACAAUGGGCGAAAGCCUGAUCCAGCCGUGCCGCGUGUGUGAAGAAGGUCUUCGGAUUGUAAAGCACUUUAAGUUGGGAGGAAGGGCAGGAAGUUAAUACCUUGCUGUUUUGACGUUACCAACAGAAUAAGCACCGGCUAACUUCGUGCCAGCACCCGCGGUAAUACGAAGGGUGCAAGCGUUAAUCGGAAUUACUGGGCGUAAAGCGCGCGUAGGUGGUUCAGCAAGUUGGAUGUGAAAUCCCCGGGCUCAACCUGGGAACUGCAUCCAAAACUACUGAGCUAGAGUACGGUAGAGGGUGGUGGAAUUUCCUGUGUAGCGGUGAAAUGCGUAGAUAUAGGAAGGAACACCAGUGGCGAAUGCGACCACCUGGACUGAUACUGACACUGAGGUGCGAAAGCGUGGGGGAGCAAACAGGAUUAGAUACCCUGGUAGUCCACGUCCGUAUACGAUGUCGACUAGCCGUUUGGGGAUCCUUGAAGAU